ensembl:miRNA Mir881 microRNA 881
UGCAGUACAAUAUUCAGAGUGGUAGCAGUCACUUUAUUCUAAAGUAACUGUGGCAUUUCUGAAUAGAGUAAUGUUCA